GGGCACUCUAAGGAGACUGCCGGUGACAAACCGGAGGAAGGUGGGGAUGACGUCAAGUCAUCAUGGCCCUUACGGCCAGGGCUACACACGUGCUACAAUGGUCGGUACAAAGGGUUGCCAAACCGCGAGGUGGAGCUAAUCCCAUAAAACCGAUCGUAGUCCGGAUCGCAGUCUGCAACUCGACUGCGUGAAGUCGGAAUCGCUAGUAAUCGUGAAUCAGAAUGUCACGGUGAAUACGUUCCCGGGCCUUGUACACACCGCCCGUCACCCCAUGGGAGUGGGUUGCUCCAGAAGUAGCUAGUCUAACCUUCGGGGGGACGGUACC
rnacentral:rRNA from 1 species